ACGAGACGUAGUGGUAUCCUGAGUAACGCGGAACACGUGAAAUUCUGCGCGAAUCUGCCGGGACCAUCCGGUAAGGCUAAAUACUCCCGUGAGACCGAUAGUGAACGAGUACUGUGAAGGAAAGGUGAAAAGCACUCCGAUGAGGAGAGUGAAAUAGUUCCUGAAACCAUGCGCCUACAAGCGGUCGGAGCCGCGUAAGCGGUGACGGCGUGCCUUUUGCAUAAUGAACCUACGAGUUACCAUGUCUGGCAAGGAUAAGUAACAAGAGUUACGUAUCCGUAGUGAAAGCGAGCCUGAAUAGGGCGUCAAGUCAGAUGGGGUAGACGCGAAACCAAGUGAUCUACACUUGCCCAGGUUGAAGUCCGGGUAACACCGGAUGGAGGACCGCACGGAUAAGCGUUGAAAAGCUUCCCGAUGAGGUGAGUGUAGGAGUGAAAGGCCAAUCAAACUUGGAGAUAGCUCGUACUCCCCGAAAGGCAUUUAGGUGCCGCGUGCAGUGUUUUCCCCAAGAGGUAGAGCGACCGAUAGGACGCGAGGGCUUCACCGCCUAUCAAGUCCUGACGAACUCCGAAUGCUUAUGUUCCGCAGUCAUGCAGUAAGGGGGCGGGUGCUAAGGUCCGUCCCCGAGAGGAGAAGAAUCCAGACCGUCGUCUAAGGUCCCGAAAUUCUGUCUAAGUUAGUCUAACGAAGUCUGGUCCCCGUGACAGCUAGGAUGUUGGCUUGGAAGCAGCCAUUCAUUCAAAGAGUGCGUAACAGCUCACUAGUCGAGGGUCCGGGCGUGGAUAAUAAUCGGGUAUAAGUCAGAUACCGAAGGCGCGGGAUAGUAAUGUAUAUUAAAAGUAUCGGUAGGGGAGCAUUCCAUCGGCGUUGAAUGGUGAGGGUAACCGAUCCUGGAGCUUAUGGAAAAGCAAAUGUAGGUAUAAGUAACGAUAAAAAGGGUGAGAUUCCCUUUCGCCGAAAGACCGAGGUUUCCCGGGCGAUGCCAAUCAGCCCGGGGUUAGUCGGGUCCUAAGUCUCAGCCGAACGGCGAAGGCGAUGGCAGAUGCGGUUAAUAUUCCGCAACUCGCAUAUACAGUGAUGUGGAGACGGAGCAGUGACACUGCCGCGCCCUGACGGAAUAGGGCGUUUAAGUGCGUAGGCUAUGAGGAAGGCAGGCAAAUCCACCUUCCGAGCUGAACCAUGAAAGUACAGGUAAUCCUUCGGGAUAACUUGAGUGCAGGUAAUCAUACUUCCGAGAAAAUCCGCUAAACUUAAUGUAUAUGCGACCCGUACCGCAAACGGACACACGUGGUCGGGUAGAAUAUACUAAGGCGUUGAGAGAUUCAUGGUUAAGGAACUAGGCAAAUUGACCCCGUAACUUCGGGAUAAGGGGUCCUCAUUUUUAAUGAGGCGCAGAGAAUAGGUCCAGGCAACUGUUUAACAAAAACACAGGGCUGUGCAAACUCGAAAGAUGACGUAUACAGCCUGACACCUGCCCGGUGCCGGAAGGUUAAGAGGAGAUGUCACCAGCAAUGGGAAGCAUUGAAUUGAAGCCCCGGUAAACGGCGGCCGUAACUAUAACGGUCCUAAGGUAGCGAAAUUCCUUGUCGGGU
rnacentral:rRNA from 1 species